AGCCAGUCCGGAUGCAGGUUGGACUCACCGACAGGACAGCCAGGCAGGCAUGGAGGAGGCCGGACAGCAUGCUAGGGCGGCAGGAGGGCACUUCCCUGCAGGGCCUUUCCACCCAGAGGGCACCUGGAUACGUGUGACCAGGAGACUGUACCAUACAGCCACUGUUACCAGUGCCCAGCAGCUCCAGCUCCAGGGCACACUGAUGUGCCGAGGGGGACCAGCAUCAGGAGCUCCUCAGAGUUUUGUGCUUCAUCUCCCUGGGGUGUCUGAUUCACUCAGGGAGAAGUGAGCCCAAGUUCAUCUCCUUGGGAUUCCCCUGGGCUUCCACCUUUAGGGGUGGGGGUUAGGGGACAAGCAACUAGACUUGGACUAAGCAAGUCGAAUUAAACAAAACUCAUUCUUCCCCACAGGGGAAGGAGCUGUAAA